rnacentral:rRNA from 1 species
AGAACGAACGCUGGCGGCAGGCUUAACACAUGCAAGUCGAACGGGCGUAGCAAUACGUCAGUGGCAGACGGGUGAGUAACACGUGGGAACCUUCCUAGGGGUACGGAACAACUCAGGGAAACUUGAGCUAAUACCGUAUACGUCCGUAAGGAGAAAGAUUCAUCGCCCCUAGACGGGCCCGCGUCGGAUUAGGUAGUUGGUGGGGUAACGCCUACCAAGCCUACGAUCCGUAGCUGAUCUGAGAGGAUGAUCAGCCACACUGGGACUGAGACACGGCCCAGACUCCUACGGGAGGCAGCAGUGGGGAAUCUUGGACAAUGGGCGCAAGCCUGAUCCAGCCAGUGCCGCGUGAGUGAAGAGGCCUUAGGGUUGUAAAGCUCGUUUACCAGGGACGAUAAGUGACGGUACCUGGAGAAUAACGCCCGGACAACUUCGUGCCGAGCAGCCGAC